CCGACGGUGAGGGGUGAAAGCGUGGGUAGCAAACAGGAUUAGAUACCCUGGUAGUCCACGCCGUAAACGAUGAGCACUGGACGUCCGGAGGGUUCGACCCUUCUGGGUGUCUCAGCUAACGCAUUAAGUGCUCCGCCUGGGGAGUACGGCCGCAAGGUUAAAACUCAAAGGAAUUGACGGGGACCCGCACAAGCGGUGGAGCAUGUGGUUUAAUUCGAUGCAACGCGAAGAACCUUACCUGGUCUUGACAUCCUGCGAACUUUCUAGAAAUAGAUUGGUGCCUUCGGGAACGCAGUGACAGGUGCUGCAUGGCUGUCGUCAGCUCGUGUCGUGAGAUGUUGGGUUAAGUCCCGUAACGAGCGCAACCCCUAUCCUUAUUUGCCAGCACAUCAUGGUGGGAACUAUAAGGAGACUGCCGGUGAUAAACCGGAGGAAGGCGGGGACGACGUCAAGUCAUCAUGGCCCUUACGACCAGGGCUACACACGUGCUACAAUGGGAAGGACAAAGAGCCGCGAAGCCGUGAGGUGUAGCUAAUCUCAGAAACCUUUUCGUAGUCCGGAUUGGAGUCUGCAACUCGACUCCAUGAAGUCGGAAUCGCUAGUAAUCGUAGAUCAGAAUGCUACGGUGAAUACGUUCCCGGGUCUUGCACUCACCGCCCGA
rnacentral:rRNA from 1 species